rnacentral:rRNA from 1 species
AGCUCCAAUAGCGUAUAUUAAAAUUGUUGCGGUUAAAAAGCUCGUAGUUGGAUAUCUGCUGAGUGGUUUCGGUACUUCCCAGUGAAGAUUACACGGAACUAUUCUUGGCAUUUGUUCAGGGAAAGUUUCUGCACUUGAUUGUGUGGGACAGGAACUGAAUUUUUACUUUGAGGAAAUGAGAGUGUUUCAAGCAGGCAUUUGCCGUGAAUAUGAUAGCAUGGAAUAAUAGCACAGGACCCCGUCCCAAGCUGUUGGUUUUUGAGACGAGGUAAUAAUAAUAAGGAUAGUUGGGGGCAUUCGUAUUUCAAUGUCAGAGGUGAAAUUCUUGGAUUAUUGAAAGACGAACUAUUGCGAAGGCAUCUGCCAAGGAUGUUUUUA